AAGAAGGAGAAGAAGAAACAGCAAUCACCCUUGGGGCUGGGUGAACAAAAGUCAGAGACCAAGAUUUUUUUUGACUUAGGGGCUUGGAGCAGGGCCCUGCAGGGUGAGGACUCAGCACUCUGGGCUAGGAAGGUCCCCCUUGGCUGGCCCCGAUGCCUCAUGCUGAGAAGGGGAUGCCAGCCAGUAGGUGCUGGUGUCUCUGAGUGGAAGGAGGUGGUGAGGCUGAUUCUGGAAAUACUGGAAAAACUGGAAGCAACUGCAGCUGCCAGGAUGAGGUGUUUUGAUCACGGUCACUCUUAGGAACAGGAAGCCAACAGCUCCCUUCCUCUAGUACCCCUCCUGGCAGAGCCAAACAGAGAGAGCCAGCUGCCAAAAGGAGCCUGGGCUGCAGGGUCCCAGUCCCAGCAUCCCAAAGGAUAAAAAAUAAUCAGCACAGGAUUUUAAAAGGCUGUUUGACUACAGGUCAGGGAAGGGAGCAACCAUGGACAGCUGACUUGGUAACAUGGGCGAUUACCGGGACUAUUUUGUAGAGCAUGCUGGAAGGAGGCAGAAAGAAACAUGUUCAUAUGCUGCAGGGAAGAUGACCCCGUUGGUUACUUUUUAAGAUUGCAUACAAUUUUAUGGGCUUUGCAGAGAACUGUGCAAACUCCUGUGUCUGUCCCCUACCCUGAUAAUGACUGCUAUCUUGUAAGAGAAAGAACUCGGCAGAUGUUUGAUUAUGCCUCCCCCACCAUUUGUGGCCCACAUGACUUUCACAUGAACUGAUUUGUAAACUAUAAAGCAGGAUGCAAAUGA